rnacentral:rRNA from 1 species
UUGGGAAUCUUGGACAAUGGGGGAAACCCUGAUCCAGCCAUGCCGCGUGAGUGAUGAAGGCCUUCGGGUUGUAAAACUCUUUCGGCGGGGACGAUAAUGACGGUACCCGCAGAAGAAUCUCCGGCUAACUUCGUGCCAGCAGCCGCGGUAAUACGAAGGGGGCUAGCGUUGUUCGGAAUUACUGGGCGUAAAGCGCGCGCAGGCGGCUAUCCAAGUCAGUGGUGCAAGCCCGGAGCUCAACUCCGGAACUGCCAUUGAAACUGUUUAGCUUGAGGACGAGAGAGGUGAGUGGAAUUCCCAGUGUAGAGGUGAAAUUCGUAGAUAUUGGGAAGAACACCGGUGGCGAAGGCGGCUCACUGGCUCGUUUCUGACGCUCAGGCGCGAUAGCGUGGGGAUCAAACA